ACCUUCUCUUGGGUUAUUCUUAUCUUUUAGCAGGAUAUUUUUUACACCAGACACACAUUAGGUCAUUACACUGUCUAGUUGUAGUAGGUCAUGGUAAUGAGACCUGUGGUAGAAUCUACAAAUCCUGGGGAAUAAGACUUAGUGUUCAGAUACAAGUGAAAAGUAUUUUGCCUUGUUGCUUACUUUGCCUGGUUUACUGAACUGUUAUUGGCGCAACCACAUCCUUUCCUGGGCUUCCUUUCCAGCAGCACAGAUCUCUGGCCAGUGUGUGUGUGUGUGUGUGUGUGUGUGUUUGUGCGCGCGUGUGUGUGUGCGUGCGUGCGUGCGUGUGCGCGCGCGCGUGAUCAAAAAGGCUCUUGUGCGCACGAGCCGCGCCUCAUGAACUUUACGCGAGCAUCUCCCUGAUUUCCAACUUAUUUUCGUCGGUCAUCAGGGCACUUAACCCGGAAUGGCCUUUUUUCAGGAUUUGGGACGUGAAACGUGAUUUAGAAAAGACCAAUGCGUAGCUCGUGCGGAUUGCGCGGAGGGGAAUACAUCCACCUAGUGCAUCUGACCACUCGCCUCGACUGCCUCAUGCACAUUUACUCACACUACACAUGCAAGAAAGAAAUCGCGAAGAUGCUGAGGAGCGACACGCGCUUCGACCAGCAAGCAGACGCACAUGAAGCGGAGAUGAACCUGCGACUUGCAUGGAUAGGAUGAUUGACGUUCAACUCCGGAAAGUUUCUAGGGAAGACAUUGCCAAAUUGUAAAAAAAAAAAAAAAAAAAAAAGUAUUAUGUCUUUCUUGAAUCCUGCAUUCGUGUGGAUGCCCUUGGCAUGAAGUGCUCAGGUGUCCUCUGGUUCCUGUAACGUUACUCCACCAGGCGCAUCGCCAUCAGUCCAGUUCUAUGCGCCCUCCGCCUGCUCACACACCGAUCUGUUUAUGAGCCGAGAGAAGGAGGGAUGCAUAGUCGAGACAGAACACCUUUCAGAUCAAGGCUUCGGCCAUUUCUAUUAGGCCACUGCUUUUUCUCGUCGUUUCUUCUUUUAUGCCAGGCUGAGCUUCAGAGGUCAUGCUCACAGCUUGGCUCUCAGAGACGAGGUGGACACUGCCAGUCACUGUGCCACUGCAGAUACUACCCACCUCUACCUCCUCCACCUCCACCUCCACCCCCUCCUCGGCUUCUCAUCCCCAAAGUGGUUGAGCCUCCAGUUCCUCUGCUAAGGCCGUGGUGGAUGGACUUCAUUGUGGUUGUGACAGUAGGAUGCACUUCGGCUUUCUUUCUACUCUUAAUUCUUCUCAUCUACUACAAGGCCAUUAAACGUGAUUGGCAGUUUGAUACAAGGUACAGCCCCUUUGAGAGGUCUCCCAAUCAUCAUACGGAGAUGGACCAGACAAGCAAAGAGCUCAUUGUCCAAUAAACAUUGAGAUUUUUUUUUUCCUGAAUGAAUGAAUAAGCAGCACGAUAUUACAGUGAGGAAACCUCUUAAAAAAGAGGAAAAUGGCACUAGUCGUGGAGAAUAUGCCAUGAGCUGCCGCAAGAAAAAGACCACUAAUAACAUUGUACUGUAAAACAGACACACAUAAAGAGCUAAUGAUGUCUCUGCAUUGCUGCAUCCUCAGCACUUACUGACCCAAUGUGCAGCAGAAGUGCUAACCCAAAUGUACGUCCGAUGUCAAAGCAGAGAAUGGAGAACAAGAACAAGAUUAACUUGUUGGAAGACUGCAGCCUGGGCUGUUACACUACUGCUCUGCACUCUCAGAGUGCACUCUCCCACUCCCAUGCACUAGCAAACUGUGGCAUAGAGACUAUGACGUAUAUAUUUGCAUGAUUUUUUUUAAUUUUAGUGCCAUUAUAUCAAUAUAUAAUACCAGAUGCUUUAUUUUACAUUUGAUGUAAAUAAUCUAAUUUCUCAAUCUCAAAGCUAAUUUCUAAGCAUAGCAUUUUCUAUUUAUUUAAUAAAUUAUGAUUAUUUAUUUUGUCAACAUUGCUGUGGGACACUGCAUGUCUUCUGAUGAGGAGAUGUUUAAAAAAAAAGACAUGGCUGUGUUGUUCAGCUGUGUCUUAGGGAAAUUUAACAAAUGAGUUUGCAUGGUAUAUUGUGCACACCUAACUGAAAUACACCUUGUAGAAAUUUUGUACUCAAACUAUCAUAUGUUCAAAAGAUUGGUUACCUUGCACCGUCAAGGCUGUGGCUUCAUAUUUGUGCUGUAUUUCUAAAUGUUAAUGUGAUAUAACAUUGAGACAAGCCUAUGCACAGAUACUUACACAACAUGUUACAUCAUUCUAGGAUGAACCCUGGAGGUCUUUCCUGGUGUUCUGCAUUAUUUCUGUGGUAUAGCGUGGUUUCAUAUUUGCAAAGAGACUAAGAUGCUGGUCUUGUAUCCUCCUUAAGGCUAGAUUUCUAAACACUCCCUUGUCUUUACAAAAUUCUAGUGAUUACAAGGACAGUGGACAAUCAUGCAGGAGGCACUUUGUCAUGUUCAGAUGUAAUUACGUGCUAAUUGUUCCCUUCACAAUCCACCACACAAGGGCCUUUCCACAAAAGUCUACAGAGAUGUCUGAUGAACAUUAGCACUUCACUGAUGAAGGAUCGUAAGAAAGACGGCGGUAUUUCCCGUGCCGUAAACUUCAUGUAGGCUGUCAUCAGAAAGAUAAUGAAUGUCUGUAAUGUUGCUGAUGUUAUAAUGACAGUAUAAUAAGUAUCAUGUUAUAUAUUAAUGAAAAAUACAUUAACAUAGAGCGUCAAACGUUGGGAUAUGCAUUACAGUUGGUUCGUUUCAGUGGUUGAAACAUCAUGUUCUGUGUCUGAGUGCUGUCUCUGUCUGUCUAACUACAAUUGUGAAGUUUGGUCUCAUCUGAAUUGUAUCCUAGAAAAUCUCAAACAACUAUAUGUAAGAUAUAUAAAAUGUAUUAUAUGUACAAAUGAGAGGGAAUGAUGCAUGAAUGUAAACAAUGAUUUCAAGUUACUGUACCUUCUGGACUGUUAUUCACUCAUCCAGAGUGACUAAAUAUGUUUAUACAUAGUAGAAAUAAAACCAUGCAAACAGA